AACGCGAAGAACCUUACCUGGGCUCGAAGCGCAGUGGACCGGGGUGGAAACAUCCCUUUUCGCAAGAACUGCUGCGGAGGUGCUGCAUGGCUGUCGUCAGCUCGUGUCGUGAGAUGUUGGGUUAAGUCCCGCAACGAGCGCAACCCUUAUCGUUAGUUGCCAGCGGGUUAUGCCGGGCACUCUAGCGAAACCGCCUCGGAUAACGGGGAGGAAGGUGGGGAUGACGUCAAGUCCUCAUGGCCUUUAUGUCCAGGGCUACACACGUGCUACAAUGGCCGGUACAAACCGUCGCAAACCCGCGAGGGGGAGCUAAUCGGAAAAAGCCGGCCUCAGUUCGGAUUGGAGUCUGCAACCCGACUCCAUGAAGCUGGAAUCGCUAGUAAUCGCAGAUCAGAACGCUGCGGUGAAUACGUUCCCGGGCCUUGUA
rnacentral:rRNA from 1 species